rnacentral:tRNA from 1 species
UCCCUGGUGGCUCAGAUGGUAAAGCAUCUACCUGCAAUGCAGGAAACCUGGGUUCGAUCCCUGGGUUGGGAA